rnacentral:rRNA from 1 species
GCGAGGAAACCCGCUGAACUUAAGCAUAUCACUAAGCGGAGAAAA